GACGAACGCGGCGGCGUGCCUAAUACAUGCAAGUCGAACGCUUUUUCUUUCACCGGAGCUUGCUCCACCGAAAGAAAAAGAGUGGCGAACGGGUGAGUAACACGUGGGUAACCUGCCCAUCAGAAGGGGAUAACACUUGGAAACAGGUGCUAAUACCGUAUAACACUAUUUUCCGCAUGGAAGAAAGUUGAAAGGCGCUUUUGCGUCACUGAUGGAUGGACCCGCGGUGCAUUAGCUAGUUGGUGAGGUAACGGCUCACCAAGGCAACGAUGCAUAGCCGGCCUGAGAGGGUGAUCGGCCACACUGGGACUGAGACACGGCCCAGACUCCUACGGGAGGCAGCAGUAGGGAAUCUUCGGCAAUGGACGAAAGUCUGACCGAGCAACGCCGCGUGAGUGAAGAAGGUUUUCGAAUCGUAAAACUCUGUUGUUAGAGAAGAACAAGGAUGAGAGUAAAACGUUCAUCCCUUGACGGUAUCUAACCAG
rnacentral:rRNA from 1 species